rnacentral:rRNA from 1 species
AGAGUUUGAUCAUGGCUCAGGAUGAACGCUGGCGGUAUGCUUAACACAUGCAAGUCGAACGGGGUCUUCGGACCUAGUGGCGGACGGGUGAGUAACGCGUGAGAAUCUGGCUUCAGGUUGGGGACAACAGUUGGAAACGACUGCUAAUACCCAAUGUGCCGAGAGGUGAAAGCUUUAGUGCCUGAAGAUGAGCUCGCGUCCGAUUAGCUUGUUGGCGGGGUAACGGCCCACCAAGGCUCCGAUCGGUAGCUGGUCUGAGAGGACGAUCAGCCACACUGGGACUGAGACACGGCCCAGACUCCUACGGGAGGCAGCAGUGGGGAAUCUUGCGCAAUGGGCGAAAGCCUGACGCAGCGACGCCGCGUACGGGAAGAAGGCCUUCGGGUUGUAAACCGUUUUCAGGAGGGACGAAGCCACUCGGGUUAAUAGCCCAGAGGGUGACGGUACCUCCAGAAGAAGCCCCGGCUAACUACGUGCCAGCCGCCGCGGUAAUUC